rnacentral:rRNA from 1 species
AACCUCCGCAAUGUGAGAAAUCGCGACGGGGGGAUCCCAAGUGCCAUUCUUAACGGGAUGGCUUUUCAUUAGUGUAAAGAGCUUUUGGAAUAAGGGCUGGGCAAGACCGGUGCCAGCCGCCGCGGUAACACCGGCAGCUCUAGUGGUAGCAGUUUUUAUUGGGCCUAAAGCGUCCGUAGCCGGUUUAAUAAGUCUCUGGUGAAAUCCUGUAGCUUAACUGUGGGAAUUGCUGGAGAUACUAUUAGACUUGAGACCGGGAGAGGUUAGAGGUACUCCCAGGGUAGAGGUGAAAUUCUGUAAUCCUGGGAGGACUGCCUGUUGCGAAGGCGUCUAACUGGAACGGUUCUGACGGUGAGGGACGAAAGUUAGGGGCGCGAACCGGAUUAGAUACCCGGGUAGUCCUAACCGUAAACGAUGCGGACUUGGUGUUGGGGUGGCUUUGAGCUGCUCCAGUGCCGAAGGGAAGCUGUUAAGUCCGCCGCCUGGGAAGUACGGUCGCAAGACUGAAACUUAAAGGAAGU